GCCUACAACCAUAUUAUUAAUGCAUUUAAUCCCAUCGGAUCUCGGAAGCUAAGCAGGUUUGAGUCUGGUUAUCACUUGGAUGGGAGACUAACUGGGUGUGCCAGGUGUUGUCGGCU
rnacentral:rRNA from 1 species